ensembl:lncRNA
ACUGAAGAGAAAAGUGCUUUGGAGCAAAGAGAAUAAAGAACCUUUUAUCCAUGUGGGCUCUCCCCAACCCCCCUAGCUGCCAGCCUACAGCCCAGCCAGGCAACAUGUGGGGGAGUUCCCAGCUAUCUGACAGAGGGAGAAUAGAUGGGAAGAGAAAGAUCUCGAACAGGAAGAAAGCUUUAGGCCUAUUGAGGCGGGGGCCUAAUAGGCAUGGAGGAAGAACAGCAGGAGAGAGCAGUGGGGGAACAGACUCGGCUGGAAAGCCCGGGCGCAACCAUCCCUUUUUGUGCUCGCAAGCAUUAAAGCUUCAAACUUGUGUCCAAAUGGUUUAGUCCUCCAUGGAUCAUCCUGCUUGAUCCACAGCCAUCUUGGGGCCUAUUCUUCAGCAGCCAUCUUGGGGCCUAGUCUUCAGCAGCCAUCUUGGGGUCUAUUCUUCAGCAGCCAUCAUUCAGCUACCAGACCCUUGUACCUCGCCCUCUUCCCUUCAUGGAAAUCAGGUAGAUGCAUAUUUAUCUGGUGGCUGCUUUGUUGGCAAGCAGUAUUGACUUUAAUUUGCUGUGAGACAGAGACAAAAAAUAAAUUAGGAAUAGUUGUCAUUCUCAGUUCAUAGUUCAUAGGAGCCCCGUUAGAUAUAGAUAGGAUACCAUCUGAACAAUCACAACCCCAUGCUUACAUACCC